rnacentral:tRNA from 1 species
GGUAGGAUGGCUGAAUAAUAAGCAUUAGACUGUAAAUCUAAAGAUAAAGGUUAUACACCCCUUUUCUUACCA